rnacentral:lncRNA from 1 species
AGUUAAUAAAUGACUGACUGAGGUUUGAACCCAACUCAUUUGACUUCAACACUUACAGAAUUGACUACUCAGAUAAGAGAGAGCCGUCUCUCAGGGAAAUAUGGAAAAGCAAUACUCCACAAACCUCAACGGCAAGAAGAGUUCCUCCAAAGGGAUAGUUAACUCUCCCAAAGGAUACAAAAGGCAUUUAUAAAAUGGAUGACAAACAUUGUAAGGAAUAUACUUUCCUCCAAAUGAAUAUAAAUUCUAUGAAAAUCUCCAAAGACCUUUGAAAGGAAAUGCUCCGCCCCUUUCCUCUACCAGCAAUAUCUGUUGAAGCAGUAUGAAGGGGAGAGGUGAACACUGGAUUGUUUUAGCUCUUGUCAUUAAAGAAAGCGUGUACAUUAAGGCA